rnacentral:rRNA from 1 species
UACGGAGGAUCCAAGCGUUAUCCGGAUUUAUUGGGUUUAAAGGGUGCGUAGGCGGCGAUGCAAGUCAGAAGUGAAAGCCCGGGGCUCAACUCCGGGACUGCUUUUGAAACUGUGUUGCUAGAUUGCGGGAGAGGCAAGUGGAAUUCCUAGUGUAGCGGUGAAAUGCGUAGAUAUUAGGAGGAACACCAGUGGCGAAGGCGGCUUGCUGGACCGUGAAUGACGCUGAGGCUCGAAAGCGUGGGGAGCAAACAGG